GAUGAACGCUGGCGGCGUGCCUAAUACAUGCAAGUCGAGCGAACAGACGAGGAGCUUGCUCCUUUGACGUUAGCGGCGGACGGGUGAGUAACACGUGGGUAACCUACCUAUAAGACUGGGAUAACUUCGGGAAACCGGAGCUAAUACCGGAUAAUAUUUCGAACCGCAUGGUUCGAUAGUGAAAGAUGGCUUUGCUAUCACUUAUAGAUGGACCUGCGCCGUAUUAGCUAGUUGGUAAGGUAACGGCUUACCAAGGCAACGAUACGUAGCCGACCUGAGAGGGUGAUCGGCCACACUGGAACUGAGACACGGUCCAGACUCCUACGGGAGGCAGCAGUAGGGAAUCUUCCGCAAUGGGCGAAAGCCUGACGGAGCAACGCCGCGUGAGUGAUGAAGGUCUUCGGAUCGUAAAACUCUGUUAUUAGGGAAGAACAAACGUGUAAGUAACUGUGCACGUCUUGACGGUACCUAAUCAGAAAGCCACGGCUAACUACGUGCCAGCAGCCGCGGUAAUACGUAGGUGGCAAGCGUUAUCCGGAAUUAUUGGGCGUAAAGCGCGCGUGGGCGGUUUUUUAAGUCUGAUGUGAAAGCCCACGGCUCAACCGUGGAGGGUCAUUGGGAACUGGAAAACUUGAGUGCAGAAGAGGAAAGUGGAAUUCCAUGUGUAGCGGUGAAAUGCGCAGAGAUAUGGAGGAACACCAGUGGCGAAGGCGACUUUCUGGUCUGUAACUGACGCUGAUGUGCGAAAGCGUGGGGAUCAAACAGGAUUAGAUACCCUGGUAGUCCACGCCGUAAACGAUGAGUGCUAAGUGUUAGGGGGUUUCCGCCCCUUAGUGCUGCAGCUAACGCAUUAAGCACUCCGCCUGGGGAGUACGACCGCAAGGUUGAAACUCAAAGGAAUUGACGGGGACCCGCACAAGCGGUGGAGCAUGUGGUUAAAUUCGAAGCAACGCGAAGAACCUUACCAAAUCUUGACAUCCUUUGACCCUUCUAGAGAUAGAAGUUUCCCCUUCGGGGGACAAAGUGACAGGUGGUGCAUGGUUGUCGUCAGCUCGUGUCGUGAGAUGUUGGGUUAAGUCCCGCAACGAGCGCAACCCUUAAGCUUAGUUGCCAUCAUUAAGUUGGGCACUCUAAGUUGACUGCCGGUGACAAACCGGAGGAAGGUGGGGAUGACGUCAAAUCAUCAUGCCCCUUAUGAUUUGGGCUACACACGUGCUACAAUGGACAAUACAAAGGGCAGCGAAACCGCGAGGUCAAGCAAAUCCCAUAAAGUUGUUCUCAGUUCGGAUUGUAGUCUGCAACUCGACUACAUGAAGCUGGAAUCGCUAGUAAUCGUAGAUCAGCAUGCUACGGUGAAUACGUUCCCGGGUCU
rnacentral:rRNA from 1 species